UGGAUUGCAGUAGCGACCAGGGUGGUGGCGACGACCAGGGCCCCUGCUCCUGGCUGCGCAACAGGAACAAGCGAUUGGCUGCCAAGGUGAUUCUCCGGGUGAAGAAGCCGCCAAACCAUCCCUUUUCCUGUAUGUCUAUGUGCCCCCUAGCUCUGCUUAACUACGUCUUUUCAGAUUUGUGGCUUUUCAAUUUUGUAAAUAUGUGCACUUAUAAUUUUCUCAAUCUUCUCCGAUUUGUAUGUGUCCACUCUUUCAUAUAAGAUGUAACAUGCCAUGACGUUUCAUUGCCAUGUUGCUAGAAUCAUGCAUUACAAUACACUGAAUUUGUACCAUUAUAGGCAAUUAUAGCAUAGCUGAACACAUGAUGGCUGGUAUAUGCAUUUAAUAUCAUAUAUAGUACUCCCUCCGUUCGGAAUUACUUGUCGUAGAAAUGGAUGUAUCUAGACAUUUUUUAGUUCUAGAUACAUCCAUUUCUGCGACAAGUAAUUCGGGACGGAGGGAGUAGUAUAGGAGACAUGUUUAUAUCACCAUGCUCGAUGUCUUGUUAUAUCUGGGGAAAUCAAGUAGACAGUAUCAAUCGAUAUAUUCUUGCAAUGCUGUUAACUGAGUUGCUUCUUGGGAAGGUUAUCUUCUGUUUAUGACUUUUUGUCUACCGUCAUGCUAUUCAGGGGUGCAGUUGUUGCUCAUCGCCAUCUACCUUCUGUAAUCCCAUCUCCUACAAUCUUCGCGUUUACGAUCACUGUCACCUCCUUUCUUAGUCAGCACGGAGGCAGUUGUGGUUGUCUGAUACGAGGCGGUAUGCUUCCUAGAUCUGCUCAGUUAUGUUCUUUUUGUUUGGGCUGUACAUCAUAUUAAACAUAGUGUUUCUAAACCAUUGUCUUUCCUUUUUCCUGUUGCCAGAUGGCUGCUGCACCCAAUGCCUUCUCGGCUCAUUUGGAGAAGUA
rnacentral:lncRNA from 1 species